rnacentral:rRNA from 1 species
GACGAACGCUGGCGGCGUGCUUAACACAUGCAAGUCGAACGGAAAGGCCCUGCUUUUGUGGGGUGCUCGAGUGGCGAACGGGUGAGUAACACGUGAGUAACCUGCCCUUGACUUUGGGAUAACUUCAGGAAACUGGGGCUAAUACCGGAUAGGAGCUCCUGCUGCAUGGUGGGGGUUGGAAAGUUUCGGCGGUUGGGGAUGGACUCGCGGCUUAUCAGCUUGUUGGUGGGGUAGUGGCUUACCAAGGCUUUGACGGGUAGCCGGCCUGAGAGGGUGACCGGCCACAUUGGGACUGAGAUACGGCCCAGACUCCUACGGGAGGCAGCAGGGGGGAAUCUUGCACAAUGGGCGCGAGCCUGAUGCGACAACGCCGCGUGCGGGAUGACGGCCUUCGGGUUGGAAACCGCUUUAGCCUGAUACGAAGCGUGAGUGACGGUAACGGGUAAAGAAGCACCGGCUAACUACGUG